rfam:Trichobilharzia regenti genome assembly, scaffold: TRE_scaffold0004870
AUCCAAACGACGAGUCCAAAAUAGGACGAAAUGCGCAUUCUAGAU